AACGAACGCUGGCGGCAUGCCUAACACAUGCAAGUCGAACGAGACCUUCGGGUCUAGUGGCGCACGGGUGCGUAACGCGUGGGAAUCUGCCCUUGGGUUCGGAAUAACAGUUGGAAACGACUGCUAAUACCGGAUGAUGACGUAAGUCCAAAGAUUUAUCGCCCAAGGAUGAGCCCGCGUAGGAUUAGCUAGUUGGUGAGGUAAAGGCUCACCAAGGCGACGAUCCUUAGCUGGUCUGAGAGGAUGAUCAGCCACACUGGGACUGAGACACGGCCCAGACUCCUACGGGAGGCAGCAGUGGGGAAUAUUGGCCAAUGGGCGAAAGCCUGAUCCAGCAAUGCCGCGUGAGUGAUGAAGGCCUUAGGGUUGUAAAGCUCUUUUACCCGGGAUGAUAAUGACAGUACCGGGAGAAUAAGCUCCGGCUAACUCCGUG
rnacentral:rRNA from 1 species